AGAAGGAGACCCGCUGUUGCGGGUAGCCGCUGUUAUCUUUGU
rnacentral:sRNA from 1 species